ACAGAUACUCUGCAAUCUGUUCAUGUUCUGAUUUUACCCUGGAGUAGAUAAGCUGAUAAAAAUCACUUGGUUAAUAUUUUUUUCACGGGUGCAUUUGUUUGUUUUUUGAAUGCUGCCACAGCUAGCUUGAUUAGAAAUGCCACUAGCAGAACUUGUCUUCACACAUUAGAUUGUGCAGGGAAAGUGUGGUGUAAGAAAUGAUUGAUGUUUGCACCAUAUUUAAUUUGACCUUGCUGUGUACUGCUGUGUAAAUGAUGACUACAUUAUCAUAAAUUACAAAAUAUUUGUAUCUAAAUACUGACUUUUAACAUGUUCAGCUGAGGAACAUGUUUUUCUGCUUUGAUGAAAAUCAUUUUCUGACGGUAUUGUUGAUAUUUUGAGAGUCUGGAACAUGAAAAAGAGAUAGUCAGCAGAUGUUUUUUAACGAAGUUGGUAAAAACAGGCUGUGAAACCUAACAUGUCAUCAUUGUUUGACAAAAAAACAAUGUAGAUCCGCAAGGGAAUAUCCCUCCACAGUCAUUGUUCUGUGCACGUAUAAUAUGCUAAAAACUAACUUUUGUAGCUCCAGUUAACUGUUAGCAAAAUACCCCAAAGAUGGUAUAUUCCUGGAUUCAUUGUUUGUUUGUUUUUUCAGUCUAAAUUCCUUGCUUGUUCAUUUUCUGAAAUGGUUUAUUCUGCUGGGACUUCAAUUAUUACUUAAAGAUUUUAAAUUGUGUCACUUGAUUUGUGUUGUUUUACCAGAUAAUUGUAUUCACAAGAAAAUACAGGGAUUUCUUCAGGCCAGUAUGGAGACAACAGGAAUCAUUCACAAAAACCUGUUUGAGUGUUAAUGUUGACCCCUGACGUGUUUUAUGACAGACUAGUAGUAAGAAAUUGCAAAAUACAUAAAUAAAUAAUAAUCAAAGUUAUUUUAUCAUGUUAAAGUAACUGUUUGAGUAACAGGAUGUAAAGUUUUAUCUGCAUAAACAGUUAGGAUGACAGAGUGAGACUGUGGGAGGAUACGAGGGGUUAGGGUAAAGUGAAAAUUCCAUUUUAUUACAGAUUCAAGAUCCAGAUAGUAUAUCAAAAUAAACGUAUCGGAAAAAAAGUUUUAUGAAGAGGUACUGUAUAAAAGUCUAAAAAAAAAAGUAAUUUCUCUCAUCAAAAUCAUAUCUGUUAAGCAUUGCUGUGACUGAUACCACACUCUAUCCUCUUUCACACAUGCACUGCAAUCCUGAAAACUUCCUGAGGUUGUCAGGGUGGGUUGCAAUGUGUGAACCAAACUCACUUAACCCAGAGUUUAAGGGCGCGACUUUUUCUAGUCAGGAGGAGGAGUCUUUCCCCACCACUGCAACUAAACCACAGGGGGCAUUUUGAAUUGUGAGGAUGAGUCUGAUAAACCCACUGGGACUCGUUUACCGGUAUCUUCCAAAGUUUUCUCUGAAAUUUGUUGUUAUGAAGAUCCUAAGAAAAGCCCGCAGCAGAUUCAUGAAGCUGUUCUCACACAGCUCAGUUGUUUGCACAGGUGUUCCUAAAUUGAAGAAUACCAUGUCCUCCUAAGAUCAAAUCUAAUGCCUGUUUUUCUGACUUAGCAUUAAAAAAGUAACUCCUAAUGCCCAUAUAAGGGCAUGAGACAGCAGGGAAAUGGUUAUAUGUAGAAGCCACACAAUAUUGAAAAGAAAGUAGUUAGAUGUUGGGACUUGGGAAUGAGUAAAUUAGAUUCAGUUCAGGUCAGUGCUUAGUUUGUAUUCACAAUGUAACAUUUUGCAGUUUAGACGGAACAUUUCAUGGUUAAAAUGAAAGUUUACUACAUGUAAAUCAUAUCUUUAUUAAUGUCAGUUAUGAUGACAAAGUUAAGAAAAACAGAAUAACCAAUGUCAGAAUAUUUUUG